AGGCAGCAGUGGGGAAUAUUGGACAAUGGGCGCAAGCCUGAUCCAGCCACGCCGCGUGAGUGAUGAAGGCCUUCGGGUUGUAAAGCUCUGUGGGGAGGGACGAAAACGGCGCACAAGAAACGGUGCGUCCUUGACGGUACCUCCUUAGCAAGCACCGGCUAACUCUGUGCCAGCAGCCGCGGUAAUACAGAGGGUGCGAACGUUGCUCGGAAUUACUGGGCGUAAAGCGCGUGUAGGCGGGUCGGCAAGUCAGGCGUGAAAUCCCCAGGCUCAACCUGGGAACUGCGCUUGAAACUGCCGGUCUUGAGUAUCGGAGAGGGUGGCGGAAUUCCUGGUGUAGAGGUGAAAUUCGUAGAUAUCAGGAGGAACACCGGUGGCGAAGGCGGCCACCUGGACGAUUACUGGCGCUGAGACGCGAAAGCGUGGGGAGCAAACAGGAUUAGAUACCCUGGUAG
rnacentral:rRNA from 1 species